UCUCUUAGUUCUAGUAGUGUUCGUUCUACUUGCCUCUAUCCAUUCAGGCUCAUGAUCAGUUUUUGGAGCUGUAAAUUCUUGUGGAUCAGCUAGAUCCCUCUCCAGACUUUGAUUCUUACACAUAUAGGUGGCCUAAGCAGCUCUUGCAAUUAUGGAUCAUAUUGAUAUUCCCUCCACCUUUAAUUGGAUUUGGGCUUCUUGUCAGCUAAAGCACAAAGUUCCAUCUGUUAAAAAUGAGAGUUAUGCUUCAGGAAAAGAGAAAAAAAAAAACAGUUCCAUCGGCCCUCCUUUAUAUGAGUGUGUGCUUUGCAAUCAGCUUCAGGUGGAAUCUAAAGAUUCAGCGCAUCAAGCAAGAGAGCUUAAGGUUCCCUUUCAUACAACGAUCUCCGGUCUGGUUACUUGGAGCAUUUGAAAGAUCGGGACUGACUGCAUAUUCAACAAUACGUGGCACAAUUUGUACAUGUGCAGGAAAAUCUUUAAGGAUGAGUUCAAUUUGGUUUUCCACAGAGCCAAAAGAACGAAAUAUGGAGGCUUCAUGUGUGUUCAAAGCCACAUGAGCAGGAUCUCACUGCCCAAACACCCUGGAAUUGAUCCACCAUUUCAGUUUUCCUUGUAGGCCACAACCAGUUAACAAUUGCGCGCAGGCGCGUCAUACCUCCCAAAUGAGUUUAGGUAGAGAAGGAUCAGUUACCGAAUUGUAUAUACGCAGAGAGAUUAAUUUAGCAUUUUUUUAAGAAAGUACAUUUUUUGUUUGAACUUAUAGGGAAGUUCAUUUUUCUCUCUAGUUGUUUUGUUUGAUCAAAACUAAUCCUAGGAAUUUCAAAUCAGUCCGACACCUAGUUUUGGUGGUUUUAGUGCUGACACGUCAACACCAGGUGGCGGUAUCUGCCACCUAAAGAAACACAAUUCACGUUGAUGAUUGCAUCAAGGACGGAAACAUAACCGUUAAACACAAACCCAUGCACAUAGUUAGUUAGUUACACAACGUCUUCAGAAUACUGGGUGUCACUAGUCUCGAGAUUUACCAAGUCACCAAUCAUGUCUUGCUAUCUAAGGAUACGUCGCUGCCACAAGGAUUCUACCAAGACACACAUGACGACAAACCCAGUUUUGAUCCCUAGCGAAAACCACUUCGGUGUUCCUCAAAAAAAAAAAAA